UGGGGAAUCUUGCGCAAUGGGCGAAAGCCUGACGCAGCAACGCCGCGUGGGGGAUGAAGGCCCUCGGGUUGUAAACCCCUUUCAGCAGGGACGAAUCUGACGGUACCUGCAGAAGAAGCCCCGGCCAACUACGUGCCAGCAGCCGCGGUAAUACGUAGGGGGCGAGCGUUGUCCGGAUUUAUUGGGCGUAAAGAGCUCGUAGGCGGCUUGGCAAGUCGGGUGUGAAACCUCCAGGCUUAACCUGGAGACGCCACUCGAUACUGCCAUGGCUAGAGUCCGGUAGGGGACCACGGAAUUCCUGGUGUAGCGGUGAAAUGCGCAGAUAUCAGGAGGAACACCGGUGGCGAAGGCGGUGGUCUGGGCCGGCACUGACGCUGAGGAGCGAAAGCGUGGGUAGCAAACAGG
rnacentral:rRNA from 1 species